rnacentral:lncRNA from 1 species
GGGAAUGAAAAGUGGGCAAAAUUGACUAAGUUAAUGGCCUGUUAGUCAAGCCUUAAUGUGUGCCCUGAAUUAAGGAGGAAAUUAAGGGAAUAGCACUGUUGAGUAAGUUUUUCAAAUCGGGUAGGCAGACUUUUGUUAUUUUGGGGGAUCGGGUGGUUAAGUUUUUUAAAAGGGGGCAGGUAUGUCUUGGGUUAUAAAUAGAACAGAGUUUGGACAUAAUAGGGAGCUCUUUUUAAUCAAUUAGAGAUUGAGAGCUUAAGACUGAAUUUUUGAAACAGAAAUUGAGAAUUGAGAGUAAAAAUAUAGACUGAAUUUUGAGAGGGAGAUAUUUAAAAAUUAGGAGUAAAAAAAAAUCAGUUCGAAAGAAGACCUUAAGAGUAAGAGUUUUAGACAGCCAGCUAGUUCAAUUAAACUUGUUCCAUUGAAAAAUACCAAAAGUGCUAUUGCAUUGUUUCUCUGGUUCACAAUUUGAUCAAGUUUUCUUCUUUUUUGAUUACUGGAUUGCUGGAAGGUCACUAUUUGGUUCUCGUUUGAUUUUGGGUGUUCAAAUUAGCUCCUUAGGUUGCUUGUUUUGCUGUGUUUCUAUUGAGGUUGCCUGGGUUUGUUGGAAGCUAUUUUUGAGGUCCAAAUUACUUUGAUUACUGGAUUGCUGGAAGUUCACUAGUUGGUUCUCGUUUGAUUUUGGGUGUUCAAAUUAGCUCCUUAGGUUGCUUGUUUUGCUGUGUUUCUGUUGAGGUUGCCUGGGUUUGUUGGAAGCUAUUUUGAGGUCCAAAUUACUCUUGUUUUGGUUGAUUGUGGCUGCUGGUUAUCUGUUAUUGUGCUGUUGUUGUUGUGCUUGUGUUACUGCUGCACUACUGAUCUUCCUCUCCUUCUUUGGCAUUUCCAAAUACCAGGUACACGACUCUUAUACUGGUACAAUGUAGCUGGAACUGUUCGAAGCAUAAAAAAAAUAGCCUUAAGGCUCGAAGUUAUUAAUUUUUUUUUUUAGAUUCUGUAUAUGUAUAUGAUAGAUUUAGCUCAUUAGAAUGGCAUGGUUAAUUGCCAAUGUAUCAAUAGGCUCAAUCUGUAAUAAUUCAAGUUCAAUCCCAU